rnacentral:rRNA from 1 species
CUAACGCGUUAAGUCGACCGCCUGGGGAGUACGGCCGCAAGGUUAAAACUCAAAUGAAUUGACGGGGGCCCGCACAAGCGGUGGAGCAUGUGGUUUAAUUCGAUGCAACGCGAAGAACCUUACCUGGUCUUGACAUCCAGAGAAUCCUGCAGAGAUGCGGGAGUGCCUUCGGGAACUCUGAGACAGGUGCUGCAUGGCUGUCGUCAGCUCGUGUUGUGAAAUGUUGGGUUAAGUCCCGCAACGAGCGCAACCCUUAUCCUUUGUUGCCAGCGGUUCGGCCGG